rnacentral:rRNA from 1 species
GACGAACGCUGGCGGCGUGCUUAACACACGCAAGUCGAACGGAAAGGCCCUGCUUUUGUGGGGUGCUCGAGUGGCGAACGGGUGAGUAACACGUGAGUAACCUGCCCUUGACUUUGGGAUAACUUCAGGAAACUGGGGCUAAUACCGGAUAGGAGCUCCUGCUGCAUGGUGGGGGUUGGAAAGUUUCGGCGGUUGGGGAUGGACUCGCGGCUUAUCCGCUUGUUGGUGGGGUAGUGGCUUACCAAGGCUUUGACGGGUAGCCGGCCGGAGAGGGUGACCGGCCACAUUGGGACUGAGAUACGGCCCAGACUCCUACGGGGGGCAGCAGGGGGGAAUAUUGCACAAUGGGCGGAAGCCUGGUGCAGCAACGCCGCGUGCGGGAGGACGGCCUUCGGGUUGAAAACCGCGUUCGCCUGUGGCGAAGCGUGAGUGACGGUAAGGGGUAAAGAAGCACCGGCUAACUACGUGC